rnacentral:rRNA from 1 species
GAUGAACGCUGGCGGCGUGCUUAACACAUGCAAGUCGAACGGAAAGGCCGCAGCUUGCUGUGGUACUCGAGUGGCGAACGGGUGAGUAACACGUGGGUGAUCUGCCCUGUACUUCGGGAUAAGCUUGGGAAACUGGGUCUAAUACCGGAUAGGAAUCACAUGUGGGUGUGUGGUUGGAAAGCUUUUGCGGUAUGGGGUGAGCUCGCGGCCUAUCAGCUUGUUGGUGGGGUAAUGGCCUACCAAGGCGUCGACGGGUAGCCGGCCUGAGAGGGUGUACGGCCAAAUGGGGAUGGGAUAAGGGCCCGACCCCAUACGGAGGGGAGGGGGGGGAAUGUUGUCCAAAGGGGGGAAAGCAUGUCGGAGGGACCCCGGUGGGGGGAGGGCGGCCUUCGGUUGGAAACCUCUUUUCGCUGGGGAGGAACGAUAAGGACGGGACCCGGGAAAGAAGCCCCCGCUAACCUCGGG